UUAAGCGACUAAGCGUACACGGUGGAUGCCUAGGCAGUCAGAGGCGAUGAAGGGCGUGCUAAUCUGCGAAAAGCGUCGGUAAGGUGAUAUGAACCGUUACAACCGACGAUACCCGAAUGGGGAAACCCAGUGCAAUUCGUUGCACUAUUGCAUGGUGAAUACAUAGCCAUGCAAGGCGAACCGGGGGAACUGAAACAUCUAAGUACCCCGAGGAAAAGAAAUCAACCGAGAUUCCCCCAGUAGCGGCGAGCGAACGGGGAGGAGCCCAGAACCUGAAUCAGCGUAUGUGUUAGUGGAAGCGUCUGGAAAGUCGCACGGUACAGGGUGAUAGUCCCGUACACAAAAAUGCAUAUGUUGUGAGUUCGAUGAGUAGGGCGGGACACGUGACAUCCUGUCUGAAUAUGGGGGGACCAUCCUCCAAGGCUAAAUACUCCUGACUGACCGAUAGUGAACCAGUACCGUGAGGGAAAGGCGAAAAGAACCCCGGCGAGGGGAGUGAAAUAGAACCUGAAACCGUGUACGUACAAGCAGUGGGAGCACCUUCGUGGUGUGACUGCGUACCUUUUGUAUAAUGGGUCAGCGACUUAUAUUUUGUAGCAAGGUUAACCGAAUAGGGGAGCCGUAGGGAAACCGAGUCUUAACUGGGCGAAUAGUUGCAAGGUAUAGACCCGAAACCCGGUGAUCUAGCCAUGGGCAGGUUGAAGGUUGGGUAACACUAACUGGAGGACCGAACCGACUAAUGUUGAAAAAUUAGCGGAUGACUUGUGGCUGGGGGUGAAAGGCCAAUCAAACCGGGAGAUAGCUGGUUCUCCCCGAAAGCUAUUUAGGUAGCGCCUCGUGAACUCAUCUUCGGGGGUAGAGCACUGUUUCGGCUAGGGGGUCAUCCCGACUUACCAAACCGAUGCAAACUCCGAAUACCGAAGAAUGUUAUCACGGGAGACACACGGCGGGUGCUAACGUCCGUCGUGAAGAGGGAAACAACCCAGACCGCCAGCUAAGGUCCCAAAGUCAUGGUUAAGUGGGAAACGAUGUGGGAAGGCAUAGACAGCCAGGAUGUUGGCUUAGAAGCAGCCAUCAUUUAAAGAAAGCGUAAUAGCUCACUGGUCGAGUCGGCCUGCGCGGAAGAUGUAACGGGGCUAAACCAUGCACCGAAGCUGCGGCAGCGACGCUUAGGCGUUGUUGGGUAGGGGAGCGUUCUGUAAGCCGUUGAAGGUGACCUGUGAGGGUUGCUGGAGGUAUCAGAAGUGCGAAUGCUGACAUAAGUAACGAUAAUGCGGGUGAAAAACCCGCACGCCGGAAGACCAAGGGUUCCUGUCCAACGUUAAUCGGGGCAGGGUGAGUCGACCCCUAAGGCGAGGCUGAAAAGCGUAGUCGAUGGGAAACAGGUUAAUAUUCCUGUACUUGGUGUUACUGCGAAGGGGGGACGGAGAAGGCUAGGCUAGCCGGGCGACGGUUGUCCCGGUUUAAGCAUGUAGGCGGAGUGACUUGGUAAAUCCGGUUGCUUAUCAACGCUGAGGUGUGAUGACGAGUCACUACGGUGGUGAAGUAGUUGAUGCCAAGCUUCCAGGAAAAGCCUCUAAGCAUCAGGUAACAUUAAAUCGUACCCCAAACCGACACAGGUGGUCAGGUAGAGAAUACUCAGGCGCUUGAGAGAACUCGGGUGAAGGAACUAGGCAAAAUGGUGCCGUAACUUCGGGAGAAGGCACGCUGGCAUUAGGUAAAGAGACUUGCUCUCGGCGCCGAAGCCAGUCGCAGAUACCAGCUGGCUGCAACUGUUUAAUAAAAACACAGCACUGUGCAAACACGAAAGUGGACGUAUACGGUGUGACGCCUGCCCGGUGCUGGAAGGUUAAUUGAUGGGGUCAGCCGCAAGGCGAAGCUCUUGAUCGAAGCCCCAGUAAACGGCGGCCGUAACUAUAACGGUCCUAAGGUAGCGAAAUUCCUUGUCGGGUAAGUUCCGACCUGCACGAAUGGCGUAAUGAUGGCCAGGCUGUCUCCACCCGAGACUCAGUGAAAUUGAACUCGCUGUGAAGAUGCAGUGUACCCGCGGCAAGACGGAAAGACCCCGUGAACCUUUACUAUAGCUUGACACUGAACAUUGAGCCUUGAUGUGUAGGAUAGGUGGGAGGCAUUGAAGUGUGGACGCCAGUCUGCAUGGAGCCAACCUUGAAAUACCACCCUUUAAUGUUUGAUGUUCUAACUCGGCCCCAUAAUCUGGGGUGAGGACAGUGUCUGGUGGGUAGUUUGACUGGGGCGGUCUCCUCCCAAAGAGUAACGGAGGAGCACGAAGGUUAGCUAAUCACGGUCGGACAUCGUGAGGUUAGUGCAAAGGCAUAAGCUAGCUUGACUGCGAGAGUGACGGCUCGAGCAGGUACGAAAGUAGGUCUUAGUGAUCCGGUGGUUCUGAAUGGAAGGGCCAUCGCUCAACGGAUAAAAGGUACUCCGGGGAUAACAGGCUGAUACCGCCCAAGAGUUCAUAUCGACGGCGGUGUUUGGCACCUCGAUGUCGGCUCAUCACAUCCUGGGGCUGAAGUAGGUCCCAAGGGUAUGGCUGUUCGCCAUUUAAAGUGGUACGCGAGCUGGGUUUAGAACGUCGUGAGACAGUUCGGUCCCUAUCUGCCGUGGGCGUUGGAAGAUUGAGAGGGGCUGCUCCUAGUACGAGAGGACCGGAGUGGACGAAUCACUGGUGUUCGGGUUGUCAUGCCAAUGGCAUUGCCCGGUAGCUAAAUUCGGAAGAGAUAACCGCUGAAAGCAUCUAAGCGGGAAACUUGCCUCGAGAUGAGUCUUCCCUGGGGCUUUAAGCCCCCUGAAGGAACGUUAAAGACUAUGACGUUGAUAGGCUGGGUGUGUAAGUGCAGCGAUGCAUUGAGCUAACCAGUACUAAUGAUCCGUGAGGCUUAACCUU
rnacentral:rRNA from 1 species